UAAACAGAUAACUAGGGUUCCGGUUGAUUUAUCAUAAUGAAUCAAUGUCUGGUCCGAGAGUUUUCAACCUAGCCGCAUAAUGACCAAUCACAACGUUAGUGUUUGUGUUCUUAUGUUUGCGUUAGCAAAGGGUUACACGGCGGGAUAAAAGCCCGGGAGGU
rnacentral:sRNA from 2 species